GCCUCUAUAGCUCAGUGGUUAGAGCACCACAUUGGUAAUGUGGGGGUCGCGAGUUCAACUCUCGCUAGAGGCU
rnacentral:tRNA from 1 species